AAAUAGCGAGUAUGCUCACAAUGCUUCAUGUUAGUAAUUCACUUAACGAUAUAAAUCAAGUGAUCAAUCCAACAAAUAAUGAUGAAGAUUUUCUUUUUAAUUUUUAUAAUAGCAUUCAUUGCUACUGAAUUAGAUGCAUGCAAAGGUGGGGGUGAUCAUUGUAACAAAAUUUUUGAACCUUGUUGCAAUCCCUGGUAUUGCACUAAUUGGUUUGGAAGAGGAAGGUGUGUCGAAGAUUAACCAGUAAUACGAAGUCCGCAUGCAGAUACUAACAGUCUUGCGGACAUUUACAGAAUAAUGCAAGAAAGAGGAGUCGCAGGGAACAAAUAAUAAACAAGUAUAAAUUUUUUUUAAUGGCCUCUAAUAAUAUUCAUCAAUAGCUUUUUUUUUAAAUUAUUGUACAAAAUUUUAAAUGUUUACUUUUCAAGAGCUAUAAGUAUCUCAAAUUCGUACGUUGAGAUUAUAUGUAACAUAAAUUACAUUAUUCGUCUUCUUUAUUAUCCUUUUUCCUAAAAACAUGUUUUUUCCUGCUCAGCCGUCUUUAUCAAAAUAUUUAAAUGCGAGACAAGUGCGUUACUGACUACAAUUAAUCAAUUAUUUUGCAUUACACAGUGAAAAAUAUUGUGUAUUUGUGUCGAAAACGGUUUGUGUUAAAAAUUGUAGUGUGUUAAACUAACACAACGUUUGUGUCACUUUAUUUUGUAACAUAAAAAAUGUGUUAUACACUCUUUAUUGACACAUUUUGUGUGUUACUGUGGAAUUCUUUGCGCCCUCUUGUGGCGAUAUUUCAACAUAAUCUUUAUGUUAAAAAGGGGUUACACAAAGUUUGUGUCGAAAAUUCAACACAAAUUUUGUGUCAACUGUUUUUAACACACAAACUGUGUUGAUUUUACACAAUAUUUUUUACUGUGUAUAUUGCAUUGUUCCUCAGAAAAAAAUAAUUUAGACAUACGUUGAUUUACAGUAGGUCUACGGAGAUAUGAUUUUUGCAAAAAUAAGAUCUACGUUACUUCUAGCAGAUUUACAAGAUCUAGGAGGAUCUUAUUGCCGAGGCUUUUUUUUAAGAGAUCUAUGAUUUGUGGAAAUUAACAGAAAUCAUCAAAAAUCUCUGGUGACCUCUGUAGCGCUCUUAUGAAAAAUUCGUAUUUGUAACUUAUCGGUCUGCAUAGAUAUGCAUUAAUCGAAAUAGGUCACCAAUCAAGUUUCAAAUAAAAAAAAAUUUCAUUUUCUGUUAUAAUUUUAGUAUAUACCAGCAUUAUUGCCGAUAUACUAGGACUGUCUGUAAUUAUAAAGAUAUGAAAACAUUGCUUGCAACAACAAUCUACUCUUAACUGCAGAUAAUAAAAAAUUCUAUAAUUUUCCUCAUAAUUUAGAACUAUUAUACGAUAACAAAUAAUAUAUGCAUACUUUUUAUUAUCACAAAUAAUUAUUUUAAUUAUCCAAAACUACGUCAUUCUAUCGAAUAAUUGCCGCGUUCUAAAAAUAAAAGCCGUUAUAUGUAAGACACAUCGAACUAUUUGGAACUAAACGUCAACGUAAAGAACAGCCUUUUAGUAAUUCAAUUUGUUUUUUAGUUGAACUAUCAAUCCAGCAAGUAAAAAUGAAGAUUUUGUUUAUAAUUCUAAUGUAUUUAACUGCGUUUUGUGCUUCCGAAGAUGCGUGUGAAGGUAUAGGUGAUCGGUGUCAUGGGCUCACUCAACGUUGUUGCGACCCUUACUUAUGCGAAGCUCAGCCUUUCAAAUGGGGAGUCUGCAUCGAAGUCGAAGCAACAACGAAAAGUUCAUCUGUAGGUGCUCUCACUCAAGUGGACCUUGCUAGGAUCUUCAGUGGAGAUAAACUCAAUUAAUUGUGUUUAUAAAUAUUCCAAUCACCGAUUUUAUUAGUUUUCUAAUAAAUCGACGUUGAAAUAUGCACGUUUUCGUUAAAAUUAUAAAUUAAAAUACGAUGUUAUAAACAAUUGUUGUUUGUAUUUAUAAUUAAUAAAAAUUGUCUUAAAUAUUGAGACAAAAAUAACGAACUUACAA